UGCCUACGGGGGGCAGCAGUGGGGGAUAUUGCACAAUGGGGGGAACCCUGAUGCAGCGACGCCGCGUGGGUGAAGGAGUGCUUCGGCAUGUAAAGCCCUAUCGGCAGGGAAGAAGCAAGACGGUACCUGACUAAGAAGCCCCGGCUAACUACGUGCCAGCAGCCGCGGUAAUACGUAGGGGGCGAGCGUUAUCCGGAUUCACUGGGUGUAAAGGGAGCGUAGGCGGCCUGGCAAGCCUGAUGUGAAAUACCGGGGCCCAACCCCGGGGCUGCAUUGGGAACUGCCAGGCUGGAGUGCCGGAGAGG
rnacentral:rRNA from 1 species